rnacentral:tRNA from 1 species
GGAGAUGUGGCGAAGUUGGUAACGCAGGUGGGCUAUGCUCAAUCGGAGUAUCCUGCCUCAUCGUUGGUUCAAAUCCAACCAUCUCCACCA